rnacentral:piRNA from 1 species
UGGACAGUGGCAUCACAGUUGAGGUGCUAA